CGUCAUUAUCUUCCCUAUAAAAGGAGUUUACACACCGAAAUGCGUCAUCCUCCACGCGGCGUUGCUGCAUCAGAGUUUCCUCCAUUGUGCAAUAUUCCUCACUGCUGCCUCCCGUAAG
rnacentral:rRNA from 1 species